rnacentral:rRNA from 1 species
UCAUGCGGGACUGCCGGUAUAAAGCCGGAGGAAGGUGGGGAUGACGUCAAGUCAGCAUGGCCUUUAUGUCCAGGGCUACACACACGCUACAAUGGCCGGUACAAUGGGUCGCGAAGCCGUGAGGCGGAGCCAAUCCUCCAAAGCCGGUCUCAGUUCGGAUUGCAGGCUGCAACCCGCCUGCAUGAAGUCGGAGUUGCUAGUAACCGCAGGACAGCCAUACUGCGGUGAAUACGUUCCCGGGCCUUGUACACACCGCCCGUCACGUCAUGGGAGCUGGCAACACCUGAAGUCGGCGACCCAACCGCAAGGAGGGAGCCGCCCAAGGUGGGGCUGGUGACUGGGACGAAGUCGUAACAAGGUAGCUGUACCGGAAGGUGCGGCUGGAUCACCUCCUUUCUAAGG